rnacentral:SRP_RNA from 1 species
UGGUGCUAGUUGGGGAGCUAGCGGUGCCCUGUACUCGCAAUCCGCUGCAGCGAGGAUGAAUUCCUUUCUGAGGUUAAGAUGUUUUAAGGUUAGCGUUUAAGAGGCAGUUAUGAAGAUUUCGGUCCUGUACAAUGAAACUUCAUGAAUCCUGUCAGGUUCGGAAGAAAGCAGCAGUAAGUGAAAUGUUUUCAUGUGCUGCAGGGAAGCCGAGAUUGAGCUGAUUUCUGAAACAGCACUUAAAAUAAUUUUAAUCGAAGUAAGGUGCGCCG